rnacentral:ncRNA from 1 species
UUCAGUUCAAAGAACAGAAGAGUAUUCAUAUUUAACCUGUAGCGAGUCGGAAUAUGGUGAAAGUUCGAUGGCAAUGAAUAUGAAGAAACGCAUCUGGGAGAAAUGAAUCUGAAAUUAAGUAGGAUGAUCGUAUGUCUGCGUUAAAGACUAGAGGGGUCGUAAGACAACCAGUGUGGUACCGCGAUGUGAUGUCGUCUCUGGA